rnacentral:sRNA from 1 species
UCCUAACUCUUGUUUACCCAAUGGUUGU